AACAACAUUUUAAAAACAAUUACCCCAUAUUCAACUCCUUCUAUUUCAGCUUGUAAUAUAUCUCCAUCAACAUUAAACAUUCUUAUAUUAUGUGAAACUAUGAUACUUCAUUUAUAGUGAAACUAGUACAUACUUCAUUGUUUUCAAAAGUACGGGUUAGACUAAUGUUCUGCCACUAGAGUUAACUUAAUGGUGAUUCUUGCUUGCUAAUUACAAACUAAAAACCAUUGGAUGCUAAAAAAUAUGAUUAACAAAAUCAUAUAUCCAAAUUAAAUUACACCGAAUUA
rnacentral:lncRNA from 1 species